rnacentral:rRNA from 1 species
AUACUUAGGGUGCAAGCGUUAAUCGGAAUUACUGGGCGUAAAGCGCUCGUAGGCGGCUUGUUAAGUCGGAUGUGAAAGCCCCGGGCUCAACCUGGGAACUGCAUUCGAUACUGGCAAGCUAGAGUAUAGUAGAGGCAAGUGGAAUUCCGGGUGUAGCGGUGAAAUGCGUAGAUAUCCGGAGGAACAUCAGUGGCGAAGGCGACUUGCUGGACUAAUACUGACGCUGAGGAGCGAAAGCGUGGGGAGCAAACGGGAUUAGAAACCCUAGUAGUCC